rnacentral:snRNA from 1 species
GUGCUCACUUCGGCAGCACAUAUACUAAAAUUGGAAUGAUACAGAGAAGAUUAGCAUGGUCCCUGCAUAAGGAUGACAUGCAAAUUUGUGAAGCGUUCCAUUUAAAA